GCUGGGCGUGGUGGCUCACGCCUGUAAUCCCAACACUUUGGGAGGCUGAGGCGGGUGGAUCACUUGAGGUCAGGAGUUCCAGACCAGCCUGGCCAACAUGGUGAAACCCCGUCUCUA
ensembl:misc_RNA Metazoa_SRP Metazoan signal recognition particle RNA